AGGUAAUCUUCCACAAUGGGCGCAAGCCUGAUGGAGCAACACCGCGUGAGUGAAGAAGGGUUUCGGCUCGUAAAGCUCUGUUGUUGGAGAAGAACGUGCGUGAGAGUAACUGUUCACGCAGUGACGGUAUCCAACCAGAUAGUAACUGCUACAUACGUUCCACCACCCGCGGUAAUACGUAGGUGGCAAGCGUUACCCGGAUUUAUUGGGCGUAAAGCGAGCGCAGGCGGUUGCUUAGGUCUGAUGUGAAAGCCUUCGGCUUAACCGAAGAAGUGCAUCGGAAACCGGGCGACUUGAGUGCAGAAGAGGACAGUGGAACUCCAUGUGUAGCGGUGGAAUGCGUAGAUAUAUGGAAGAACACCAGUGGCGAAGGCGGCUGUCUGGUCUGCAACUGACGCUGAGGCUCGAAAGCAUGGGUAGCGAACAGG
rnacentral:rRNA from 1 species